rnacentral:tRNA from 1 species
ACGUGUCCGAGCGGUUAAGGAGUUGGACUUGAAAUCCAAUGUGCAUGUCACGCCUAGGUUCAAACCCUAGCGU